CUACGGCCACAUCAAGUUGAAACACCGGUUCCCAUACAAUCACCAAAGUUAAGCAACGUCGAGCCUGGUUAGUAGCACGAAGGGUGACCGCUUGGGAAUAUCAGGUACUGUAUG